rnacentral:misc_RNA from 1 species
ACUCACGAGCUCACGUAUUGUUUACCUCGCUUGCUGUUGUUGUAUUGCAAACGCGCGCGCACGCCUCCCUCAUUCGCAGCGGUUGCGUGUGCCUCAGCAUACCACUACCUGGCGGGCUGCGGACGGGCUCUUCCGAAGGGACGAAAAACUAGCGGCGUGCAUCAAGUGACUCUCUCGCUUUUCGAAGUUCCCUUAAUCGCUGUGGGCACAUGAUGCGAUGCAGGCACACAUAAAGUCAGGAGCGGCCGUAGUGCUUUCUGAUACACCCAUAGCCACCGAGAGACGAGGCUGCGGGCGCCCUUGCUUUCAUCCACCGCACCGACUGUUGAGCGAUGGGGCUGGAGCUUGAUCUGCCGAGAAGACAACUUCAAACAAGAGACGCAGGUACGCAAGUAUGUUUGCUGCUGCGGACUCGCUCUCCGUCCUCAUGGCGCUCAGCACGGGGCCUUCAACGGUGGAAGGCGGCGUGCUGCAACGCGUCUGUAUACACAUGUGCUGCGGAAAAUGGCCCGCAUCGUGCGCCUCUCACUUCAACAUGUCUGCGGGAAUAUCAAGCUCAAGCACAG